rnacentral:rRNA from 1 species
AGAGUUUGAUCCUGGCUCAGGAUGAACGCUAGCGGCAGGCCUAAUACAUGCAAGUCGAGGGGCAGCACGAGUACUUGUACUUGGUGGCGACCGGCGCACGGGUGCGUAACGCGUAUGCAACCUACCUUAUACAGAGGGAUAGCCCAGAGAAAUUUGGAUUAAUACCUCAUAGUAUCAUUUGAAGGCAUCUGAGAAUGAUUAAAGAUUUAUCGGUAUAAGAUGGGCAUGCGUAAGAUUAGUUAGUUGGUGAGGUAACGGCUCACCAAGACUUCGAUCUUUAGGGGUUCUGAGAGGAUGAUCCCCCACACUGGUACUGAGAUACGGACCAGACUUCUACGGGAGGCAGCAGUAGGGAAUAUUGGUCAAUGGGCGAGAGCCUGAACCAGCCAUGCCGCGUGCAGGAAGACGGCCUUCUGGGUUGUAAACUGCUUUUAUAUGGGAAGAAAACGGCCUUGCGAGGCAGAUUGACGGUACCAUAUGAAUAAGCACCGGCUAACUCCGUGCCAGCAGCCGCGGUAAUACGGAGGGUGCAAGCGUUGUCCGGAUUUAUUGGGUUUAAAGGGUACGUAGGCGGCCAAUUAAGUCAGUGGUGAAAGCCAGCAGCUCAACUGUUGAACUGCCAUUGAUACUGAUUGGCUCGAGUUCUGUUAAGGUAGGCGGAAUUGAUGGUGUAGCGGUGAAAUGCAUAGAUACCAUCAGGAACACCGAUUGCGAAGGCAGCUUACUAGGCAGAAACUGACGCUAAUGUACGAAAGCGUGGGGAUCGAACAGGAUUAGAUACCCUGGUAGUCCACGCCGUAAACGAUGCU